rnacentral:lncRNA from 1 species
AUUUUCCGGAGUGCAUCUGAGCGUCACCUGAAAGUGGCCCCCUGGAUGCUGCAGCACGGCUCCACAUCAAGGAAUCCGAGCAACCUGGGGGCCUCAGCCAAGGGCCUGCAGGCAGCCCAGAGCACGUUCCGUUUCCAGUGUAAAGGACCAAACUCCAAGGCUCACAGAGAGGCGCCGAGUCCCAUCUGCUACUUCCUCCGGAAACCUCCAGAGGUCUGGGCGAAGGACACGGCUGCCUGGUGCCUGAGGAACCUGGGUGCUGCCAUUCGCUGGAAGUCCACGGGCUGCCAGAAACGUGGGCCUCAUGACCACAGAAGGAGACCGGGGGAAUUCAGCUGCUCCCUAAGCGAGGGCAGAAUCGGGUGAGGUAUGGGGCUCCCCAGCUUCUCAGCCACCGGCUCCGGAAGGCCUCUGUCCCGUUCACCAUCUCCCUCGCUCCCUGACGAAGCUGGGCUCGUUAGACAGACGGUGAAAAGGUGAGGCCAGGCAGGAGAGAGGCACCUCAGGCAGCGAAGGCAGGACGGAUUAGUGCAGCACGGAACAGAGGUGCUGGGGCACUGCCAGGCCAGGCUGAGCUGUCCUCAAAAACCUGGGAGGAGCAGGAAGCCAGCAGGCAUAAAUGCAUCGCCAUGACCAUCUUUUGAAAGAGUUACUGUUGGCAGGUAGACUUCAAAUCUCUGAAUUCCAGAAAACCCCAAGUCUGGAAUACUGCAGGCGUUAGCACUUGCUUAGAAAACGCUCCAAUCUGAAGAUAAGAGUGAGGGAGGGUCUGACACCGGGGAAGGGUCAUCAGCUCAGGACUGGCGGAAGCUAAGUUCAAGCCCAAGUCUCUGACUCUACAGCACAGGGUGGGGCUCCCGUCCCUGCCGGAGAGGAACAGGGCUACUGCCCAGGGUGAGGUGAGGGGCGGGUGUGACCCUGGCCGUGAAGACCACGCCUUGCAGAAGGAGCUGCUCCCUCUGGGAGGUGCCAGAAAUAACAGUUCCUUCCUUCCCCUCCCUUUCUCUAAUCACUGAGCUCCCUCUGUUAUUCAGACCCCUUACGGGUUGAUAACCCAGUUUUCAUUACUCAAUUCCCCGGUCUCUGGCGCAUGCUGCCCGGCUGUCCGUGCACAGCCAGCGCUGGCCUGUCCUCCACCAGUGCAGUGGCACCAUUUGCCAGUGGAAGGCUGUUCCCCUGGUAACACUUUGGCCCCUGUGUGCCCACAGGCCCAGCCUUCUCCCCAGCCACACAGUCAGGAGCUCCUCCUUUGCGCCCGCAGUGGUGCUGGGCCCCUGGGAUAACGCCACAUAAGAAACCAUCCAAGACUAGGAAGGGAGGCGGGGCUUUUUAGAGUGUGCUUUGGCCUGAGCCUGCUUACAGAGAAGGAACCUUGGUUGGUUUACGAUCUGCUUCUGACCGGGGCCCAAACUCUGAAGUGUGGAUGUUAACCUAUAAAAGACCAAUAAAAUGCAUUAAGUUUCCAUCAGGUGUGAUCUCAGAACUUACAGUGUGAUUGUCCUGCAGG